GAUGAACGCUGGCGGCGUGCCUAAUACAUGCAAGUCGAGCGAACAGAUGAGGAGCUUGCUCCUCUGACGUUAGCGGCGGACGGGUGAGUAACACGUGGAUAACCUACCUAUAAGACUGGGAUAACUUCGGGAAACCGGAGCUAAUACCGGAUAAUAUAUUGAACCGCAUGGUUCAAUAGUGAAAGACGGUUUUGCUGUCACUUAUAGAUGGAUCCGCGCCGCAUUAGCUAGUUGGUAAGGUAACGGCUUACCAAGGCAACGAUGCGUAGCCGACCUGAGAGGGUGAUAGGCCACACUGGAACUGAGACACGGUCCAGACUCCUACGGGAGGCAGCAGUAGGGAAUCUUCCGCAAUGGGCGAAAGCCUGACGGAGCAACGCCGCGUGAGUGAUGAAGGUCUUCGGAUCGUAAAACUCUGUUAUUAGGGAAGAACAAAUGUGUAAGUAACUAUGCACGUCUUGACGGUACCUAAUCAGAAAGCCACGGCUAACUACGUG
rnacentral:rRNA from 1 species